rnacentral:rRNA from 1 species
CAGCAGCCGCGGUAAUACAGAGGCCUCAAGCGUUGUUCGGAUUCAUUGGGCGUAAAGGGUGCGUAGGCGGUUCCGUAAGUCGGAUGUGAAAUCCUGGGGCUCAACCUGGGAACUGCAUUUGUGACUGUAGAGCUGGAGUGCGGCAGAGGGGGAUGGAAUUCCGCGUGUAGCAGUGAAAUGCGUAGAUAUGCGGAGGAACACCGAUGGCGAAGGCAACCCCCUGGGCCUGCACUGACGCUCAUGCACGAAAGCGUGGGGAGCAAACAGGAUUAGAUACCCGUGUAGUCCCUGUCUCUUAUAA